rnacentral:misc_RNA from 1 species
GAACGAUUGUCUCAUGGACGACACGAGGUACUAUACGUGAAUACUGGCACCGUGAAGUGGUUCAACGAGACCAAGGGCUUCGGCUUCAUCCAGCCGGACGAUGGCGGCAAGGACGUGUUCGUCCACAUCUCCGCUGUCGAGCGCGCCGGGAUGCGGAAUCUCGUCGAGGGCCAGAAGAUUGCCUACGACAUCGUGCCCGACAAGCGCAGCGGCAAGGACGCGGCCGGCAACCUCCAGGCUGCCUGAGCAGCCUCCGGCCUAUGAGGCGGGCCCCCCUGGCGGGGCCCGACCCG